GACCGCGUAGCUCAGUUGGCAGAGCAUUGAGCUAGCAUUCCAAAGGUCGUAGGUUCGAUUCCCACCGUGGUCA
rnacentral:tRNA from 1 species